AACUGUUAUAAUAGCUGCAAGCCUCUCCAUACAAAACUUCCAGGCAGCAUUUGCCCCAAACUCUCCAUAUUAACCAACAAAUUCAAUCCUUGAAAUCAACACAACUGCCAGGAAAGUCGGCACCAUAUUUGAAUGCAUCGACUAGCACAUCCAUUGAUGAUGAUGUACAAAUAUUUGAUGAAGUCAGACGAAUCGAGCCAUUGUUGAGGGAAAUGCAGCUGCACUCUGCAUAUCAGAAAAUGACUUGAUUGAAUAUCAUUUAUUAAACAUGGUUACUCGCCAAAGAGAACACUGGUAAAAUCGGAAGAGCAACGU